GCCCUUGCUCAGAUUGAACGCUGGCGGCAGGCCUAACACAUGCAAGUCGAGCGGUAGAGAGAAGCUUGCUUCUCUUGAGAGCGGCGGACGGGUGAGUAAUGCCUAGGAAUCUGCCUGGUAGUGGGGGAUAACGUUCGGAAACGGACGCUAAUACCGCAUACGUCCUACGGGAGAAAGCAGGGGACCUUCGGGCCUUGCGCUAUCAGAUGAGCCUAGGUCGGAUUAGCUAGUUGGUGAGGUAAUGGCUCACCAAGGCGACGAUCCGUAACUGGUCUGAGAGGAUGAUCAGUCACACUGGAACUGAGACACGGUCCAGACUCCUACGGGAGGCAGCAGUGGGGAAUAUUGGACAAUGGGCGAAAGCCUGAUCCAGCCAUGCCGCGUGUGUGAAGAAGGUCUUCGGAUUGUAAAGCACUUUAAGUUGGGAGGAAGGGUUGUAGAUUAAUACUCUGCAAUUUUGACGUUACCGACAGAAUAAGCACCGGCUAACUCUGUGCCAGCAGCCGCGGUAAUACAGAGGGUGCAAGCGUUAAUCGGAAUUACUGGGCGUAAAGCGCGCGUAGGUGGUUUGUUAAGUUGGAUGUGAAAUCCCCGGGCUCAACCUGGGAACUGCAUUCAAAACUGACUGACUAGAGUAUGGUAGAGGGUGGUGGAAUUUCCUGUGUAGCGGUGAAAUGCGUAGAUAUAGGAAGGAACACCAGUGGCGAAGGCGACCACCUGGACUAAUACUGACACUGAGGUGCGAAAGCGUGGGGAGCAAACAGGAUUAGAUACCCUGGUAGUCCACGCCGUAAACGAUGUCAACUAGCCGUUGGAAGCCUUGAGCUUUUAGUGGCGCAGCUAACGCAUUAAGUUGACCGCCUGGGGAGUACGGCCGCAAGGUUAAAACUCAAAUGAAUUGACGGGGGCCCGCACAAGCGGUGGAGCAUGUGGUUUAAUUCGAAGCAACGCGAAGAACCUUACCAGGCCUUGACAUCCAAUGAACUUUCUAGAGAUAGAUUGGUGCCUUCGGGAACAUUGAGACAGGUGCUGCAUGGCUGUCGUCAGCUCGUGUUGUGAAAUGUAAGGGC
rnacentral:rRNA from 2 species